rnacentral:sRNA from 17 species
GUAAGCAACCCCGGUCUGAAGACACGGGGCUUCAGCAAAUAAACUGAAGCCGUGCUUACCCGCCUAAGUCUUAAUUGACUACGUUAUUGGGGUCAUAACACCGAAGAAUGCGACGCUAGUUUUCCGCUCUGUU